ensembl:lncRNA
GAUCAAUGGUAGAAAAGAGAUGGAUGGAUAAAUCAUCUGGCCUGCUGAGUGGUGCCUCCUUUAGGGGUCAGAACAGUGGAUCAUCUGCCUCCAUCCAGACCAACUGUCUGCAUGUCCUCCUUCACUACAACCACGAAUCUUCUCUGAGGUCUUCCUCUGCACGUGUCCGAACCAUCUCAACCUUGCCACUCAUUCUUUUUCAACUUGAGCUGGACCUCUGAUGUUCUCAUUUCUAAUCUUGUUCAUCCUGGUCACUCCCAAAGAAAAUCUUAACAUUAUCAGCUCCAUUUCCUCCUAGAACAUUACAGCUUUCACCGGAUUACCAUGCUUCAACUAGGCAUUAAUAGCAGAGCCAGCUGUAACUGAUCAGUGUCCAUCAGGCCUCACCUGACUGCUAACCAGUGAGCGUUUGUGCCCUUGCUAACUUUGAAGUAUUUUAAUGGAACGAGCUGGGAAAUAAUAUGAGCUGGUGAACAAGCCAUCUAAAACCUUUAUGCUUCGGUUUUGCAACAACUACAAUCAAGCAUUUGCAAGACUGGCAAUGAGUCUCUCACAGCACUAUGGUGGAAUUAUGGCCCACUCAUCUGUGCAGAUUUGUAUUAAUUUGGCCACACUGGAGCGUUUUUAAGCAUAAACCACCUUUUUAAUGUCAUGUCACAGUAUGUCAAUCGGAUUCGGGUCAGGACUUUCACUAGGCAACUCUGAAGUCUUCAUUUUGAUUUUUCUUAAGCCAUUCAGAAAUGGACUUACUGAUGUGUUUUGGAUCACUGUCCUGCUGCAGAACCCAAGUGUGCUUCAGCUUGAGGUCACGAACGGAUGGCUGGACAUUGUCCUUCCGAAUGUUUUGGUCGACUGCAGAAUUCAUCGUUUCAUUUACAACAGCAAGUCUUCCAGGUGUUCAAACAGCAAAACUGGGACCGGCUGUUCCUUUUGCUCAGCAGUGGUUUUCCUCUUGUAACUCUGCCAUGCAGGCCAUUUUU